rnacentral:rRNA from 1 species
UACGAAGGGGGCGAGCGUUGUUCGGAUUUACUGGGCGUAAAGGGCGCGUAGGCGGCGGGUCAAGUCGAGUGUGAAAGCCCCGGGCUCAACCUGGGAAUGGCAGUGGAUACUGGACAGCUAGAGUGCGGUAGAGGGUAGUGGAAUUCCCGGUGUAGCAGUGAAAUGCGUAGAGAUCGGGAGGAACACCAGUGGCGAAGGCGGCUACCUGGACCAGCACUGACACUGAAGCACGAAAGCGUGGGGAGCAAACAGG